rnacentral:rRNA from 1 species
UUGAAGAGUUUGAUCAUGGCUCAGAUUGAACGCUGGCGGCAGGCCUAACACAUGCAAGUCGAACGGUAACAGGAAGCAGCUUGCUGCUUUGCUGACGAGUGGCGGACGGGUGAGUAAUGUCUGGGAAACUGCCCGAUGGAGGGGGAUAACUACUGGAAACGGUAGCUAAUACCGCAUAACGUCGCAAGACCAAAGAGGGGGACCUUAGGGCCUCUUGCCAUCGGAUGUGCCCAGAUGGGAUUAGCUAGUAGGUGGGGUAAUGGCUCACCUAGGCGACGAUCCCUAGCUGGUCUGAGAGGAUGACCAGCCACACUGGAACUGAGACACGGUCCAGACUCCUACGGGAGGCAGCAGUGGGGAAUAUUGCACAAUGGGCGCAAGCCUGAUGCAGCCAUGCCGCGUGUAUGAAGAAGGCCUUCGGGUUGUAAAGUACUUUCAGCGGGGAGGAAGGGAGUAAAGUUAAUACCUUUGCUCAUUGACGUUACCCGCAGAAGAAGCACCGGCUAACUCCGUGCCAGCAGCCGCGGUAAUACGGAGGGUGCAAGCGUUAAUCGGAAUUACUGGGCGUAAAGCGCACGCAGGCGGUUUGUUAAGUCAGAUGUGAAAUCCCCGGGCUCAACCUGGGAACUGCAUCUGAUACUGGCAAGCUUGAGUCUCGUAGAGGGGGGUAGAAUUCCAGGUGUAGCGGUGAAAUGCGUAGAGAUCUGGAGGAAUACCGGUGGCGAAGGCGGCCCCCUGGACGAAGACUGACGCUCAGGUGCGAAAGCGUGGGGAGCAAACAGGAUUAGAUACCCUGGUAGUCCACGCCGUAAACGAUGUCGACUUGGAGGUUGUGCCCUUGAGGCGUGGCUUCCGGAGCUAACGCGUUAAGUCGACCGCCUGGGGAGUACGGCCGCAAGGUUAAAACUCAAAUGAAUUGACGGGGGCCCGCACAAGCGGUGGAGCAUGUGGUUUAAUUCGAUGCAACGCGAAGAACCUUACCUGGUCUUGACAUCCACGGAAGUUUUCAGAGAUGAGAAUGUGCCUUCGGGAACCGUGAGACAGGUGCUGCAUGGCUGUCGUCAGCUCGUGUUGUGAAAUGUUGGGUUAAGUCCCGCAACGAGCGCAACCCUUAUCCUUUGUUGCCAGCGGUCCGGCCGGGAACUCAAAGGAGACUGCCAGUGAUAAACUGGAGGAAGGUGGGGAUGACGUCAAGUCAUCAUGGCCCUUACGACGGGGCUACACGUGCUACAAUGGCGCAUACAAAGAGAAGCGACCUCGCGAGAGCAAGCGGACCUCAUAAAGUGCGUCGUAGUCCGGAUUGGAGUCUGCAACUCGACUCCAUGAAGUCGGAAUCGCUAGUAAUCGUGGAUCAGAAUGCCACGGUGAAUACGUUCCCGGGCCUUGUACACACCGCCCGUCACACCAUGGGAGUGGGUUGCAAAAGAAGUAGGUAGCUUAACCUUCGGGAGGGCGCUUACCACUUUGUGAUUCAUGACUGGGGUGAAGUCGUAACAAGGUAACCGUAGGGGAACCUGCGGUUGGAUCACCUCCUU